rnacentral:rRNA from 1 species
CGGCUCUCGCCUUUAGAUUGGCCCAAGUGGGAUUAGCUAGUUGGUGAGGUAAUGGCUCACCAAGGCGACGAUCCUAUAGCUGGUUUGAGAGGAUGAUCAGCCACACUGGAACUGAGACACGGUCCAGACUCCUACGGGAGGCAGCAGUGGGGAAUAUUGCACAAUGGGCGCAAGCCUGAUGCAGCCAUGCCGCGUGUGUGAAGAAGGCCUUCGGGUUGUAAAGCACUUUCAGUAAGGAGGAAAGGUUAGUAGUUAAUACCUGCUAGCUGUGACGUUACUUACAGAAGAAGCACCGGCUAACUCCGUGCCAGCAGCCGCGGUAAUACGGAGGGUGCGAGCGUUAAUCGGAAUUACUGGGCGUAAAGCGUACGCAGGCGGUUUGUUAAGCGAGAUGUGAAAGCCCCGGGCUCAACCUGGGAACUGCAUUUCGAACUGGCAAACUAGAGUGUGAUAGAGGGUGGUAGAAUUUCAGGUGUAGCGGUGAAAUGCGUAGAGAUCUGAAGGAAUACCGAUGGCGAAGGCAGCCACCUGGGUCAACACUGACGCUCAUGUACGAAAGCGUGGGGAGCAAACGGGAUUAGAUACCCCGGUAGUCCACGCC